rnacentral:rRNA from 1 species
CAGCCGCCGCGGGAAUACGGAGGAUCCAAGCGUUAUCCGGAAUCAUUGGGUUUAAAGGGUCCGUAGGCGGUCUUGUAAGUCAGUGGUGAAAGCCCAUCGCUCAACGGUGGAACGGCCAUUGAUACUGCAGGACUUGAAUUAUUGGGAAGUAACUAGAAUAUGUAGUGUAGCGGUGAAAUGCUUAGAGAUUACAUGGAAUACCAAUUGCGAAGGCAGGUUACUACCAAUUGAUUGACGCUGAUGGACGAAAGCGUGGGUAGCGAACAGGAUUAGAUACCCCUGUAGUCCCUGUCUCUUAUAA